CUCCUCGACACUUGCGGGACAUUCGAUAAAAUUGGAACAACAUAGAGAAGAUUAGAAUGACUCCUGCACAAGGAUAGCACACACAAGAAGAUUAAAGAGUGCUACUCCUCUUAUUU
rnacentral:snRNA from 1 species